ACUCACUGCCCCUGACCUCACUCAGAGUUCAGAGGGGAAGUAAGCAUCUGAUUUGUUCCAUAGCUAAGCCUCCAGGAAGAACUGUCCUAUGGAAUUGCAGCAUCCUCAGCUAGCUCAGCAUCAGCACCGCACCUGCACCUCUGCCUUGAGAGUAAGUGGAAGAAAUCCCUCUCCUCUCCUCCCCUCCCCUCUCUGCAACUUUGCCAGCAGCUAGUAAACUACAAAGCCAGCAAUCUACAGACAUGUUAGCAAGCAAGUAUACAGGUCACCCUUCAACAUACUCUGUAAGCUUGGGAAGUCUCCAGUCUGUCCCCGCUCUCUGACCAUCACGCUACUGGAACAUUUACUCCAAAGCAAACAAGACAGUAUUCUGUCAGCAGGAUCAGCCUUCUAGUCAGAUCAGCUCUAGACUGCUGUCAGUUCUGGGAUUUGCAGGGCCCUGCAGGGUAACACCAUCGCUUUCAAGAAAAGGUAAAGCCCAUAAAACCUAUAAAGGUAAAGCCCAUAAAACCUAUCUCAAACACACUUCAUACUCACUUAGGAUCUUACACUCCUUGGUACUGUUCUAAUUUAUUAGAUGUCAAUCCUGGAGAAACUGUCCAUGCCCACUCCAGGAGAGAGUUCUGGAAAUCACUCUGGAGUCUGGCCUCUCAGAGAGCUGCCACGUUGGACUGAUGGGUGCCUCAUUAUUAUCAUACCCUACAGUUCCUCUAGUUCCCCAAAUGGGACAUCUACUAAUUGUCACCUUACUGGCUAUGGACAUACAUUUGCACUAAUCCCUCCACAUGCCUUUGGAAACCAUUGCUCAAAUUUGCAAAGUAGGCUCUAGGAUGCAGUCCCAGCCUGCUUCACAGAACAAGGACAAGGGCAGGUUCCUCCAGAACAAGGCUGCCCUUUGUCUCCAUGGCCUGAUGCUCCUGCAACCCACUGUGAUCCCACAUGCCCACAUCCCCACCCCUCCAAAUCAGGAAGUCUGACCAAGAGAUCUUGUGAACUAGUUCAGCUAACUGCAGUGCAAGUCCCCCUCCUGCAAACAAGUUCCCUUGCCAAAGGUGCUGAGAUUUGCACUCAUCCUGACAUGCCUGGGGUCCAUCUAGCUUGUGCUAUUAAUAGCCACGCCAUGACACUAGCCCUCAGCUUAUUAAUAAUGCAUGACCAUUCCCACUUCGUUAGGAUACAAACGUCGCUCAUCUGCAUGAUUAGCUCUUAGCUUCCUGAUUAGAAUGCUUUAACCUGUCACAAGCAUGCCCUUUCUGGAUGAACGGAUCUUUUAAAGGGUACCAUGUUCUCUAAAGUACAGCUUAAAAUAAAAUUUAAAAACAAAAAGCACUGGCUCUUUAUUUUUUUCUGUGGAAUGAGAGAAAAACAGACUCGAAGUUUGGGGGGGGUCUGUCAUCGUUGAGUUCUAAGCUGGGGUACUUGGAUACUUGGAAGAUAUAAAAGUUGGAGACAGACACAAGGGCUUAUAGGUGACAUUAUUUAAUGAAUUUGAAUCUUUUACUCUGGGGAAUGUGGGGCAGCCACUAAGUGAUUGUGAGC
rnacentral:lncRNA from 1 species